rnacentral:rRNA from 1 species
AGGGGGACCUUCGGGCCUCUUGCCAUCGGAUAUGCGCAGAUGGGAUUAUCUAGUAGGCGGGGUAAUGUCCCACAUAGGCGACGAUCCAUAGCUGUUCUGAGAGGAUGACCAGCCACACUGGAACUGAGACACGGUCCAGACUCUUACGGGAGACAGCAGUGGGGAAUUUUGCACAAUGGGCGCAACCCUGAUGCAGCCAUCCCGCGUGUAUGAAGAAGGCCUUCGGGUUGUAAAGUACUUUCAGCGAGGAGGAAGGCGUUAAGGUUAAUAACCUUGACGAUUGCCGUUACUCGCAGAAGAAGCACCGGCUAACUCCGUGCCACCAGCCGCGGUAAUACGGAGGGUCCAAGCGUUAAUCGGAAUUAUUGGGCGUAAAGCGCACGCAGGCGGUCUGUCAAUUCGGAUGUGAAAUCCCCGGGCUCACCCUGGGAACUCCAUUCGAAACUGGCAGGCUAGAGUCUUGUAGAGGGGGGUAGAAUUCCAGGUGUAGCGGUGAAAUGCGUAGAG